UCAGGGUUGCGGCCCCUUUAAAUACUCACGCUCCCGCCCACGGCGCUCGCGCUUGCCUUAAACAGUGCAUAAACAAAGUUUACACAGCUAAUAUAACCCUCAAAAUGGAUCUUUAUAAAGUGUUCGUCAUGCAUACUGCAUGCAUGCAUCGGAUUAUGUGAGUAUUGUAUUUAUUUGGAUGUUUACAUUUGAUUCUGAAUGAAGCCCAUUGAUUCAAUGUUGAAAUUCUAUCAGAAUCAUCAUUUUGGUUGAGAUUGAAAAUUCAAUGCUAAAUAACAUUGAAUCAAUGUUGAGCUUUCAAUGCUUUUCAGUGUUGAAAAAGACAACAUUGAAUCAACGUUGAUUUUUGGUCAGCUUCAUCACUGGUGGAACUUAGAUGUCUUAGAUGGAACUUUUAUGUCAAUCCAUCUGUCCCCUCAUUCAACACUUUAUUCACAUUAGCAUUCAUGCUCCCCAUGACCCUUCCCUCUAGUCCCACAAACAAAACAAAAAAAGAAUUUAAUUUUUUAGUAUCAUGUUUUUUUUUUUUUUUUUUUUUUUUAGUAUUAGUAGAAAUAGUCUAUUAUAAUUACAGUAUUUGCACAACUAAUUAAUUGACCUGGCAAACAACUAUUGACCACUAAUAAUGCUGUAAAAAUGUUUCUCCUCUUAGGACCUGAAGCUUUUCAAUGAUGUUUGAUGACUGAGGACACUUUACAAUACAUGGACAACCAGACAGAUGAUUGUGAGGGUGACCUUGAGCAGCUCUUCAUGGUGGUGUUCAUUCUUCAGAAGGAGCUGGAGAACUUCAUGAACCACCUGCUGACAUUGACAUUGUGAUCGAGGGAGAUAAAGUUUUGAAUCAACUCACAUGAGCUUGUGCCCUGCUUCUGGAUGCCUUACAUCAAGUGAGGGCUGAAAAAAGGAGGCCUAGAAGUUUGUAUUUGCUGUUUCUGCAAAACUGGCUCUGUUUAUGCUCCUGAUCAGCUUUCGGGCAUUGCUCGUGAUGUUCGUCUGAGUAUCAAUUUAAUGAAUAAGGACAUACUUUUUGCAUCAGAAGAUCUUCAAUCCUUAAAGCUUCAAGUCCUGAACAGUGAACUGUGGUAGUGUUUCAGUCUGUAGUACUGUGUUUGUCUUUGUUGGUGAGUUUCCAUUUGUAUACUUAAAAUUUACAGAUGCAGAUUGCAUUUGUUGUCACAGUUUUCCACAGUUUCUUUCCAAUGACUAAAAUGCAUGUUUGAGCUAUUUUAACUGAAAGUAAGUUGCACUGACAUCUUACAAUUUGUCUGUGCUAUUGUUUUGUCUCAAGAUGAAUGCCAAUAAUGUUUUUUUUUAUACUACUUAACCCCUUUCACAGACAAGGCUUAAAUCUGAUCCCAGACUAAAA